CCUACGGGUGGCAGCAGUGGGGAAUAUUGCACAAUGGGGGAAAGCCUGAUGCAGCGACGCCGCGUGAGUGAAGAAGUAUUUCGGUACGUAAAGCUCUAUCAGCAGGGAAGAAAAUGACGGUACCUGACUAAGAAGCCCCGGCUAACUACGUGACAGAAGCCGCGGUAAUAAGUAGGGGGCAAGCGUUAUCCGGAUUUACUGGGUGUAAAGGGAGCGUAGGGGGCAGGGCAAGUCUGAAGUGAAAGCCCAUGGCUUAACCAUGGAACUGCUUGGGAAACUGGGCAGGUGGAGUGCAGGAGAGGUAAGCGGAAUUCGUGGUGUAGCGGUGAAAUGCGUAGAUAUUAGGAGGAACACCAGUGGCGAAGGCGGCUUACUGGACUGUAACUGACGUUGAGGCUCGAAAGCGUGGGGAUCAAACAGGAUUAGAUACCCCAGUAGUG
rnacentral:rRNA from 1 species